rnacentral:rRNA from 1 species
CCUACGGGCGGCAGCAGUGGGGAAUAUUGCACAAUGGGGGAAACCCUGAUGCAGCGACGCCGCGUGAGCGAAGAAGUAUUUCGGUAUGUAAAGCUCUAUCAGCAGGGAAGAAAAUGACGGUACCUGACUAAGAAGCCCCGGCUAAAUACGUGCCAGCAGCCGCGGUAAUACGUAUGGGGCAAGCGUUAUCCGGAUUUACUGGGUGUAAAGGGAGCGCAGGCGGCUUGGCAAGUCUGAUGUGAAAGGCUGGGGCUCAACCCCAGGACUGCAUUGGAAACUGUUAGGCUGGAGUGUCGGAGAAGUACGCGGAAUGCGCGGUGUAGCGGUGAAAUGCAUAGAUAGCGCGCAGAACUCCGAUUGCGAAGGCAGCGUACCGGCGCCAGACUGACGCUGAGGCACGAAAGCGUGGGGAUCGAACAGGAUUAGAUACCCGAGUAGUC